rnacentral:rRNA from 1 species
UACGAAAGGUGCGAGCGUUAAUCGGAAUUACUGGGCGUAAAGCGCGCGUAGGCGGUUUGUUAAGUCUGAUGUGAAAGCCCCGGGCUCAACCUGGGAAUUGCAUCGGAUACUGGCAAGCUAGAAUGCGGUAGAGGGGGGUGGAAUUCCAGGUGUAGCGGUGAAAUGCGUAGAUAUUAGGAGGAACACCGGCGGCGAAGGCGGCUUGCUGGACGGCAACUGACGUUGAGGCUCGAAAGCGUGGGGAGCAAACAGGAUUAGAUACCCGGGUAGUCCCUGAG